UAGGGAAUCUUGGACAAUGGGCGAAAGCCUGAUCCAGCCAUGCCGCGUGAGUGAUGAAGGCCCUAGGGUUGUAAAGCUCUUUCAGUGGUGAAGAUAGUGACGGUAACCACAGAAGAAGCCCCGGCUAACUUCGUGCCAGCAGCCGCGGUAAUACGAAGGGGGCUAGCGUUGUUCGGAAUUACUGGGCGUAAAGCGCGCGUAGGCGGAUUGAUCAGUCAGGGGUGAAAUCCCGGGGCUCAACCCCGGAACUGCCUUUGAUACUGUCAAUCUAGAGGUCGAGAGAGGUGAGUGGAAUUCCGAGUGUAGAGGUGAAAUUCGUAGAUAUUCGGAGGAACACCAGUGGCGAAGGCGACUCGCUGGUCCGGUACUGACGCUGAGGCGCGAAAGCGUGGGGAGCAAACAGGAUUAGAUACCCCCGUAGUCC
rnacentral:rRNA from 1 species